rnacentral:misc_RNA from 1 species
GGUUAAGGCAUAGCUGCGUCUGAAAUCAGGCGACGUGUUUACCGCGCGUAAACGAUAUCGCGUCGCUUUCGUUUCUUCUUCUUCUUCUUCUUCU